rfam:Neotoma lepida isolate 417 scaffold_80189, whole genome shotgun sequence.
AAAGGACUUAUGUAAACACAAGUUGGAGACAAGUAGAAGAAAAAAUAGACAAAUACCAGCAGCUCAGGUUGGCUUGU